rnacentral:lncRNA from 1 species
ACUGACUGCUAGACCUUGGCCAGUUACUUCACCAAUCUGGGCCUCAGUUUCUCCAUGUUUAAAAUAGGCAGAACUGUCUUGGUCUCACAGCAGUGUUGCAAAAGGUUAGACGAAGAAAAUUGUCCCAUAAAAUAUGUUGAUCACUAUUACAGUAAUAAUGAUCUAGAAAGUCAGGAAGUUGAUAGGUUUGGGGGCGGAGUAUCUGGCAUCUCUGUUUUCAUGAAUAGCAUUCAAGGGUGAUAUUCAAAGGACCAAAGGAAUUCAAAGGAAUGUGCUAAUAAAAUAGAAGCAAGAUGGGAAGGCACAAAAAUCAGGUGUUAAUCAGGCCCAGGGUUGGGGGUGGUGGUGGGGUGCCUUCCUGCCCUAGCAAGCUGUGAUAUAAGAAUAAUAACAAGUGAAUAUUUGUUAAGCAUUUACAGUGCCAGAGCUGUGCUAAGUAUUUCAUAUACAGUAUCUCAUUUAAUCCUCAUAAGACCCUGUGAGGCAAUUACCAUAAUUAUCUGAUUUUAUGGAUGAGAAGACACUCAGCUACCCAUGUGUAGGACAGGGCCAGGCAGGCGAGGAGAGUGGGCCGGCUGUGGAGGCUGCAGCCUGCACAACUCUGUUUAAAGGGGCAGGGCUGCUCAGCCAUGCAGGAAUGCAGAGGCAGGGCCCUGGUAUGGCCAGGUCUCUCAAUUUUCCAAAAGAAUAUAGAGAGUGGGACUUGUGGAAGAAAUCUCCUGAUAUUUAAAUGUUGACAGCUUAUUAAGCUUUGCGUUCUUAAAAAGACACUCUAUGAGCCAACCCCACAAUUGCUAACUAAUAGCUGUCUGUGAGCUGGACGGGGCCCCUGGGUUUCCAGCUUGUGAUCUCUGGGGUAGGAGCUGUUUCCAUGCAGAGGUUCACUGUGCUGCAUUGCCCCUCUGAGGAAACAACUGUCAACAGAAUGAUCAUCGAAACGUGGCUAUGGCCACACACUAUGCUCAAUACUAGAGGGUAGAAUACAAUUGCAUAUCCUAAUCCUCACAAGGGAGGUGCUAUUGAUCCCAUUUUACACAUACAGAAGCAGAAAGUUGAAGGGGCUCAGUGAUUUGCUCAGGGUUCCACAGUGGUAGUGGGCUGGACCCUGGGAAUGGCAGACUCUCAAAGGUAGCUCUCUCUACUCCACUGAGCAAAUAAGGGUGCUGGGUAGGAAUCAUCCACCCAUCCACCCACCUAUUCAUUAAUUCACUCACUCAUCUAUCCAUCCUGCUGCUGGCCUAUUUAUAAAAACAAAACCCUAGGAAUAUAUUUCACCAAGGAGGUGAAAGAUGUCUAUCAGGAGAACUACAAAACACUGAUGAAAGAAAUUGUAGACAACACAAACAAUUAGAAAAAAAAUCCUAAAAUUCAUAUUCAUAAUUCAAAGAGCCCAAAUAGCCAAGAAACCUGUACUUGUACCUCCUAAAUAUAUUGUUUAAAAAGUCAACUGAUUGUAGAUAUUAAUUGCAUUUACAAAAUACCUUCACAGCAACAGUAGCCUACGGUCCAGGCUCCCAGAGGGACCCUUUCAGGAGACUGCCCUCUUGCCCCACCAGCCUUAGAACUGCCGGAGUGUUUCUGGCAGGUCACCCUUUGCAUUUGGCCUGCAUUUAAAUGCUCUGUUUCAGCCCCAGUGCAAACACACAAGGACACAUCUGCCUUGCAUGAAACUCCACACAGAUCUCUGUGAAUGGGUGUUCCCCAUUCCUGUUUGGAGCUUUGGGGUGCUGACUGAUGCCCCACAAAGAACUCAGACCAGCUGAUGUUAAUGGAGAGGG